GGAUCGCCAAGCCCUACUCAAGGGCCAGUUUUAUUUGCAACCGCGGGAAACAAAGCCCCCAUGACGCUGUCUUUUCAGGCCUUCAGGAAUGGCCGAAAUUCCGAAAUUUGUGGAGGACUCUGCCUGGCCCUCGUCGUCUCAGAGGCCGGCCAAGGGCAAUCAAAGGGUGUUUUCGACUCCGUAGGGAUACCUUCUACCCCAAUAUGAUAUUAGUUUGAGGAUGGGCUGCGUGAAGCGCAGUUACACGGCUGAUGUUUGUUGGACACUCGUCAUUUCCAUUUGCAUUCAUCAAUCAUUGGGCUCGAAAGAACUGGCUGAUUCAUCGUCACUGGAGGAUUCACUGCUGCUGCUGCUGUGUUCCAGGGACACUACAAGCCUGCCCGUGUUGGUGCAGUGGCGACAUUUGCACCCAGGACCACAGAUUUUGCCAGAUUUCCGGCAUUUGCAUCGCUUUGAUUCGCAGCUACCCUUCUUGCAGCUGCAACCCUUGGUCAAAGCCAAGACCCGUUGCCUCACCACCUCUGCAUGCUCCUCUAGCUCCCAAUGAAUAGAAAGUGCAUUGUCACACAAAAGCCACCCAUUUCCAUUCAAUGGUGGGCACUGUACUGUGGGUCGCUCAGCCUGGCGCCACAUAUCCAAUACCCAGCAAGCACGUUUCCAGUGAAGAAGCAGGGCAGACGCUGAUGGUACACAAUCAUCUUCCGCAUCAACUCGUUGCCAAACAGCAUCCCUGAUCUUUGACAGCCAGGUAUUGUGCUGGUCGACUGGUGUCUCUGUAGCUUGUUGUUUGAACAAUGCGUGCGGGCUGUUGGCUUCAAAAGCUGCAACAUGCUUUUGAUAGUAUGCUGUGCCCACGAGUCGUAGGAAUGCCAAGUAUCCACGCUGUCCGUUCUGCCUGUGUGUGUCACUCAGCAGUCCCAAUGCAUCCACGCCGCUCGUGAUGAAUGAAGCAUAUUGGAACAUGAUCUUGUAGAAUGUUAAUUUGCUGAUGCCAGAGAAGUAGGACAAGUAGUCACACCCAGUCAGAACGAAUAGUGCUUGCAGUAGCAUCAGACGACUAUCGCUGGGCACCUUGGCCAAAUCUGGAUCGCCAUUGAUGGCCUUGGCCAAUUUGCUUAGGAGCAAAAACUUCCGUUCCGGUGCACCAGGCAUAUCCAGUUGUACAGCUAUACUUCUGUCUGCGACUUCCCGUCCAGAUAGGGCGACAUGAUAGGUAUCCGUGUCUGGACUGUACACGACUACUGGGUCGUUUGCUGCCGCGUGACGCCACACUCGAGAGUCGGCCUCUUCUGCAUCGGACGCAUACACGUCUAGCUGUUUUACCACUGGAUCACCGUACGCUGUCCCAAGUGCCUUGCCAGUGAAUUCCCCGUCCAAGCCACCUCCAGUCACAAAGGCUUGAUGCGGUUGCCGGAGAAAGUGCAGGGAAUUGAAGAGGCUAAAUGUGGUAAUGAAAUUAACUAACAUUCUCUUGCAUUUCCGACAAGACAAGAACUUCCUCCAGCUCUUUGGCAGUGCCAUGUCUCCAGUGAUUGACUCAUGGUUGCAGCACAGCUCUGAUGUGCACAGGGUAGACGCAUCGCCCACGGCAUCACGUUGCUCCCGGAGAAGAUCCUUUGGGCUGACACCAGCUACGUUUGGGUGGUCGAAGACCAGGUGAACCGACUGUAUGCCCAACCUAUACCAAGGCGUGAUCCACCGUUGGAUGAGGAACGUGGCAUAAUCCGCGAAUGUCCGGUACGCAAUCGAUGCUGUCGUUGAGGAGGGCUAGCGCUUGGGAUGCGGAGGAUCCGACUCUCAACAUACGCAAGGUGACGUAGCUGCUGCAAUUGUCGGUGCUGCUGUUGCUGCUGUUGCCUCUCCUGUUGUUGCAACUGGUUUUGCUAGUACCGGUGUGGCUGUUGUGGCUGAACAUGGCGUUGCUGCUGCUGAUGAUGAGGAGGAGAUUUGCGUUGAUGCUGUUACGAUUGGAGCUGCGACUGGCUCUUCUGGUACUUCAGCUGGCUGUGCUGUUGUAUCAGUUUGUGCGGCUGUGGCCGGCUGUGGUGCUGCUGCCACUGCUGGCGACCAUGCUGCAGCUGUUGAUGCUUCCAAUGGCAUUGCUGCUUCUGUUGCUCCUCCUGUUAUUGAUUGUACAUUUGCUGCGUUUACUUCACCACUAGCUGAGGUUGUUGCUGCGCUCUGGAGCUCCUUCUGGGUUCUUCGGCGAGUUCUCUUAGUGGCUGGCUCAUAAUUGCUUGUUGAGCACAGAAACCUGUCACUGUGACCGGGCAUUAGGUCAGUUGGCGAUGUUGACGCCGGACACGUAAUCGGCAUAGGGUUUACGUGUUGUAUUGUGGUGCCAUGGAAACCACGCCGGCUGUCUUCGCAGCUCACUCUUUGCCACUGCAUAUCUUUGUCGAUAUUAUCCACAGACGCAAGGGAAAAUGUAUGCAACAUCAUGUCUUUCUGAACUCCAGCGGACAUAUGUUGGUCAACCAUUGCCAUCUUGUAGCGAUCGAAUGUAUCUCGUCCAGCAACUAUUCCAAGCUUGGCAAGGAUUUUCAUCAGCUCGUUUGAAUGACUAUAAGUCUCCACGGCGUCGCUCAGGAGGGGCGGCUGGUUCUUGCCUCUGCUGUAGAAGAUUCCGUCGCUGCUCCACCAUGGAGUAGUAGAGUGACUGCAGCGUGUCUGACCCAUUUCGGUGAAGCAUGAUUCCAUGCUUCCGGGACGCACCAAGUUUUUUAAUUGAGGCAUGGUGGUCAAGACGAUGUAUCAAACGAUAGAGCAGCCACCUAGCGUUCCUUCCAGUUUGCUCCUUGUCUGCUUCCUCAUACACCUCGUGUACAGUCACCAGAAGGACAGCUCCCCGAUGAAGCAAUUGCUCAGCGGCGAAACGUUCAGCUACCAGCUGCGCAUCAUGCCCACGUGCCAGUGACUGAUCAAUGCUAGUGAUGAGGGACUGCAGCUGGUGAUCUGUGCUGGCCGGUGCGUCAUCACCAGUCCCGCCAAUGUCUCUCAGUAUAUUAAGCUGGGCAUUGUAGCAUGUGGUGCAGUACCAAUCCUCCGGUAUGACCUCUGUCUCACAGUUUACUUGCAGGAAAUGCUGGAUUGAAGGAAAGUUUGGUGACUUCCGCCUCGGUGGUUGUAGGCGCUGUUUGCACAUUCCGCAUGCAGGUCUAUUGUAUGCCUGGUUAUAAUGUAGGUUGCACAUUGGCUGCUGGGAUGCAUCAUGGCAGUGCAUUUCACUCUCACAGUCGUCAACACUGCACAGUGGCUUUGCCGGUUUGCCGGCUGCUCCUCGCUGGCAGCCAUUUCGCAGUGCCUUCACGCAAGGCCAGCAUACACAUGCAGUAUUUGGUACGGCUGUUGACAGCUUUAUAGCUUCCCAGUCCUGUAUCAUUUGUGGAUGUGUAAACUUGUAUGUUGGCUGUUUGCAAAUUGCGCAAUCUGGACCGCAUUGCUGACCAGGAUGAAGUUUAUCUCCAGAAGUUGUUCGUCCCAUUUCUAUUAUUGAAAUUGGCCGUUUCCUUUCAUUAAUUAUUAUUAUGGUGUGAUCAUUGUGCCAUUGUUGCCAGCUUCCAUCACUGUUUUUGUAUUAUUUUCCAUUGACACCAUACACCGAGUACUGAAAGAGGUUCACCUUCUACUCAGUACGAGAGUAUAGUAUUAUUAUGACUGUAUGACACGAAUUUCCACUAAAAAUAUGGCAAGC